rnacentral:rRNA from 1 species
UACGUAGGGGGCAAGCGUUGUCCGGAUUUAUUGGGCGUAAAGAGCGUGUAGGCGGCCAGGUAGGUCUGCUGUGAAAACUCGAGGCUCAACCUCGAGACGUCGGCGGAAACCAUCUGGCUAGAGUCCGGAAGAGGAGAGUGGAAUUCCUGGUGUAGCGGUGAAAUGCGCAGAUAUCAGGAAGAACACCAGUGGCGAAGGCGGCUCACUGGUCCGGUACUGACGCUGAGACGCGAAAGCGUGGGGAGCGAACAGG